GGGUGUAAUUUGGGGUGUUUUAAAAAUCAGCCUUCACGAUUACCAACUAAAUCUGGUGCCGACCAAAUCAUUCGCAUGGACAACCUAUUUUGUCGAGUGACUCAUAGGAACUACUCAAAUCGACGUAUCAAUCGAUAGAUUAAGUAGUGUUUAUACAUCAGAUUUAAUCGGGGUAAUAGUUGGUAGAUCAUAUUUGCUUAGAGUAUUUGUUUACUUAUAUAAGUGCUGUGAUUAUUCGACAAAAAAAUAGUUAAAGGGUGAAUAUUUAGUUAGUAAGUUGCAAAGUUUAGUGCAACAAUGCCAAAUAUGUGUUUGCGCAAAUAGUAUCGCUCACUUUUUCGUCCUCAAUCAACAAUCGCAACAAGUUUCGAAGGGAAAUCCUGCUUCCUAUUAAAAAUUGGCCGGAACGGAGUAUGGGCUCAGAGUGACAACUUUUUUCUUCUUCUUCUCCUAUGGCUCUACACUCCAACUGAAACUUUGCUUGCUUCUCAACUUCUAUUAGCAUUCUUACUCUGCCGCCAUUGCAUGAGUAUAUAUCUCGUCUGGCAAGUACAAUGGAUACACUGUACCCAGGGAGUCGAGAAAGUUCCCCAGCCGAAAACAUCCUAGACCGGACCGAGGACCGUCUCCGGAUUGGCCUUUGUUAGUAAGGCUUUAACUGGAGACCCGGUGAUACCCAAAAAGACGACUUCCACAUUGGACCCUACAUAUUGUACCCAUCAACAUAAGAACUGCGACCUAUGGCUUUUCUGUCUGCCUGUAGGAAGAUUGGAUCCAGACAUGUUCCGUUUUAAUUAAUGCCAACGGCAACCAUAAACAUCACGGCUUUUUGGCAACUGUACUAACUAAAUAAACUUAUUAUCAAUCGAUUAAAUAAAAUUAAAUCACCCUA